GCGCAGACUGACUUUUCCUCCUUCCAGAGCAAGGACCGGAGCCAGGCUGCCUCGGUUCACCAGCUGUGACCUUGGGCACCUUACCGGGCCAGCCCAGUCUUCUCAUCUGUCAAAUGAGACUGAUACCUUCCUGGGGUCGCUGUGAGGAUUGAAUGAAUUAUUACACGUAAAGUGCCAGAAGAGUGCCUGACGACGCACAAUAUGCCCUUUCACAGUAAUCUCAGCAUUUGGACAAGUAGACCUAGAGCAGUUGCUAAGAUCAUGGAAUUUGGAGCCAGACCUGCUGUGUUCAAAUCCCCUUCUACUCUUUAUGGUCAAUAUAGGGUCUUACUGGGCACGAAUAGUCUGCAGCUCACGACACGUACAACCCCAAGGUGAAUUCAGCAACAUUGGUCCACAUCCUAUUGAAGGAGACCUGUACACCAGUCACACACUUGGAUGUCAUGGCGAUGCCAGAUCAGUAUAAAAGUUUCCAAGUGCUUACUCCCAAUUUCUGCACUUAUCUGAUUGCAGACGGCGGACAAAGAUUCACAGACCAGCUCUAAUAGUGCAUUCUGUGCAAUCCUAUUUUUUGUAAAAUAACAUGUCUCCGUAAGAAUUCUUUAUUGUACCCCAGGCACAAACAGAUGCUGUAACACUGUAGGCAAUGAAUCAUUUCCAGAGUCUGUCUAUGCAUGAAAGGUGGUCUGGAGAGAUGAGCCCUGGGUUAGCAGAGUACCGCCAGGGGGCUUUGAGUCCUUAGCUGAUUUCAUGGCUUAAAGGCGUUCUACUUGUAGAUUG